CGAUCUGUUGCGGGCAGAUGAAAUGGAUAUGGCUGUCGAACCCGCCUGCGGUGAGGAUGCGCCCCUCACCGGCGAUUACUUCGGUGCCGGGGGCGAUGAAGAUAUCGACGCCCGGUUGCGUGUCGGGGUUGCCCCCCUUGCCGAUCUUGUGAAUGCGCCCGUCCUUGAGGCCCACGUCGGCCUUGUAGAUGCCGGUGUGAUCGACGAUCAGCGCGUUGGUGAUGACGGUAUCGACCGCGCCCUCGCCGCGAGUGGUCUGCGCUUGCCCCAUGCCGUCGCG
rnacentral:sRNA from 1 species